UGGGGAAUAUUGGACAAUGGGGGCAACCCUGAUUCAGCAAUGCCGCGUGUGUGAAGAAGGUCUUCGGAUUGUAAAGCACUUUCGACGGGGACGAUGAUGACGGUACCCGUAGAAGAAGCCCCGGCUAACUUCGUGCCAGCAGCCGCGGUAAUACGAAGGGGGCUAGCGUUGCUCGGAAUGACUGGGCGUAAAGGGCGUGUAGGCGGUUUACACAGUCAGAUGUGAAAUCCCCGGGCUUAACCUGGGAGCUGCAUUUGAUACGUGUAGACUAGAGUGUGAGAGAGGGUUGUGGAAUUCCCAGUGUAGAGGUGAAAUUCGUAGAUAUUGGGAAGAACACCGGUGGCGAAGGCGGCAACCUGGCUCAUGACUGACGCUGAGGCGCGAAAGCGUGGGGAGCAAACAGGAUUAGAUACCCUGGUAGUCCACGCCUGUAAACGAUGUGUG
rnacentral:rRNA from 1 species